CAGUCGCCGCGGGAAAACGUAGGUGGCAAGCGUUGUCCGGAGUUAUUGGGCGUAAAGCGCGCGCAGGCGGAUCAGUUAGUCUGUCUUAAAAGUUCGGGGCUUAACCCCGUGAUGGGAUGGAAACUGCUGAUCUAGAGUAUCGGAGAGGAAAGUGGAAUUCCUAGUGUAGCGGUGAAAUGCGUAGAUAUCAGGAAGAACACCAGUGGCGAAGGCGACUUUCUGGACGAAAACUGACGCUGAGGCGCGAAAGCCAGGGGAGCGAACGGGAUUGGAUACCCCCGUAGUCCCUGUCUCUUAUACA
rnacentral:rRNA from 1 species